rnacentral:rRNA from 1 species
UACGUAGGGUGCAAGCGUUGUCCGGAAUUAUUGGGCGUAAAGAGCUCGUAGGCGGUCUGUCGCGUCGGCUGUGAAAACCCGGGGCUCAACCCCGGGCCUGCAGUCGAUACGGGCAGACUAGAGUGCGGUAGGGGAGACUGGAAUUCCUGGUGUAGCGGUGAAAUGCGCAGAUAUCAGGAGGAACACCGGUGGCGAAGGCGGGUCUCUGGGCCGUAACUUACGCUGAGGAGCGAAAGCGUGGGGAGCGAACAGG